rnacentral:tRNA from 1 species
GCCUGGUUAGCUCAGUUGGUAGAACAUGGGACUCUUAAUCUUAGGGUUGUGGGUUCAAGACCCACACUGGGUG